GACGAACGCUGGCGGCGUGCCUAAUACAUGCAAGUCGAACGCUUCUUUCCUCCCGAGUGCUUGCGCUCAAUUGGAAAGAGGAGUGGCGGACGGGUGAGUAACACGUGGGUAACCUACCCAUCAGAGGGGGAUAACACUUGGAAACAGGUGCUAAUACCGCAUAACAGUUUAUGCCGCAUGGCAUAAGAGUGAAAGGCGCUUUCGGGUGUCGCUGAUGGAUGGACCCGCGGUGCAUUAGCUAGUUGGUGAGGUAACGGCUCACCAAGGCCACGAUGCAUAGCCGACCUGAGAGGGUGAUCGGCCACACUGGGACUGAGACACGGCCCAGACUCCUACGGGAGGCAGCAGUAGGGAAUCUUCGGCAAUGGACGAAAGUCUGACCGAGCAACGCCGCGUGAGUGAAGAAGGUUUUCGGAUCGUAAAAACUC
rnacentral:rRNA from 1 species